CGAACGCUGGCGGCAGGCUUAACACAUGCAAGUCGAGCGAAGCCUUCGGGUUUAGCGGCGGACGGGUGAGUAACGCGUGGGAACAUACCUUUCACUACGGAAUAGCCCCGGGAAACUGGGAGUAAUACCGUAUACGCCCUUUUGGGGAAAGAUUUAUCGGUGAGAGAUUGGCCCGCGUUGGAUUAGGUAGUUGGUGGGGUAAUGGCCCACCAAGCCGACGAUCCAUAGCUGGUUUGAGAGGAUGAUCAGCCACACUGGGACUGAGACACGGCCCAGACUCCUACGGGAGGCAGCAGUGGGGAAUCUUAGACAAUGGGGGCAACCCUGAUCUAGCCAUGCCGCGUGUGUGAUGAAGGCCUUAGGGUCGUAAAGCACUUUCGCCAGGGAUGAUAAUGACAGUACCUGGUAAAGAAACCCCGGCUAACUCC
rnacentral:rRNA from 1 species